UACGAAGGGGGGCUAGCGUUGCUCGGAAUCACUGGGCGUAAAGGGUGCGUAGGCGGGUCUUUUAAGUCAGGGGUGAAAUCCUGGAGCUCAACUCCAGAACUGCCUUUGAUACUGGCAACCUAGAGACUGGAAGAGGUUAGUGGAAUUCCCAGUGUAGAGGUGAAAUUCGUAGAUAUUCGGAAGAACACCAGUGGCGAAGGCGGCUCACUGGUCCGGUACUGACGCUGAUGUGCGAAAGCGUGGGGAGCAAACAGG
rnacentral:rRNA from 1 species